rnacentral:lncRNA from 1 species
CAGAUGUUCCUGGAAUGGGAGGCGUAAACAGAUGUUCCUGGAAUGGGAGGCGUAAACAGAUGUUCAUGGAUUGAGAGGCGUAAACCGAUGUUCCUGGAUUGAGAGACAUAAACAGAUGUUCCUGGAUUCGGAGGCAUAAACAGAUGUUCAUGGAUUGAGAGACGUAAACAGAUGUUCAUGGAUUGAGAGACGUAAACAGAUGUUCAUGGAUUGAGAGGCGUAAACCGAUGUUCCUGGAUUGAGAGACGUAAAUAGAUGUUCCUGGAUUCGGAGGCAUAAACAGAUGUUCAUGGAUUGAGAGACGUAAACAGAUGUUCAUGGAUUGAGAGGCGUAAACAGAUGUUCCUGGAUUCGGAGGCAUAAACAGAUGUUCAUGGAUUGAGAGACGUAAACAGAUGUUCCUGGAUUGAGAGACGUAAACAGAUGUUCCUGGAUUGAGAGGCAUAAACAGAUGUUCCUGGAUUGAGAGACAUAAACAGAUGUUCCUGGAUUCGGAGGCAUAAACAGAUGUUUAUGGAUUGAGAGACGUAAACAGAUGUUCAUGGAUUGAGAGACGUAAACAGAUGUUCAUGGAUUGAGAGGCGUAAACCGAUGUUCCUGGAUUGAGAGACAUAAACAGAUGUUCCUGGAUUCGGA